GUGUCAGCCGCCGCGGUAAUACGUAGGACGCAAACGUUGUCCGGAUUUACUGGGUGUAAAGGGUGCUCAGGCGGUCUUGAUAGUCAAGGGUGAAAUCUCCCGACUCAAUCGGGAAACUGCCUUUGAUACUACAAGGCUUGAGUGCAGAAGAGGCGGAUGGAAUUUCUGGUGUAGCAGUGAAAUGCGUAGAUAUCAGAAAGAACACCAGUGGCGAAGGCGGUCCGCUGGUCUGUCACUGACGCUAAAGCACGAAAGCGUGGGGAGCAAACAGGAUUAGAAACCCCCGUAGUCC
rnacentral:rRNA from 1 species